AACAAACCCAGUGUAUUCCCACCUAGUGGGGUCUGGGGGGUAAGAUGUACGCAGUCCAUACCUCUACCUCUGAAGAAGUAGAAAGGCUGUUUCCGAUAGACCCCCGGCUCAAGACACGAGAUACCACACAAACACAUAGUAAAGCACAACACAAGAUUACAUAACAUAAAUACGACACCCAUAAGUAAUAUAAAACAGAGGAAAGCAAAGGAAAGCACACAGAUUCGUAAUAAAACAUGGAACACGGAAGACGGAAUCAUAACAGGAAUAAAACC
rnacentral:lncRNA from 1 species